AUUGAACGCUGGCGGCAGGCUUAACACAUGCAAGUCGAGCGGAGAGAGGUAGCUUGCUACUGAUCUUAGCGGCGGACGGGUGAGUAAUGCCUAGGAAUCUGCCUAUUAGUGGGGGACAACAUUUCGAAAGGAAUGCUAACACCGCAUACGUCCUACGGGAGAAAGCAGGGGAUCUUCGGACCUUGCGCUAAUAGAUGAGCCUAAGUCGGAUUAGCUAGUUGGCGGGGUAAAGGCCUACCAAGGCGACGAUCUGUAGCGGGUCUGAGAGGAUGAUCCGCCACACUGGGACUGAGACACGGCCCAGACUCCUACGGGAGGCAGCAGUGGGGAAUAUUGGACAAUGGGGGGAACCCUGAUCCAGCCAUGCCGCGUGUGUGAAGAAGGCCUUAUGGUUGUAAAGCACUUUAAGCGAGGAGGAGGCUACUCUAGUUAAUACCUAGGGAUAGUGGACGUUACUCGCAGAAUAAGCACCGGCUAACUCUGUGCCAGCCGCCGCGGUAA
rnacentral:rRNA from 1 species